rnacentral:rRNA from 1 species
AGUGAACGCUGGCGGUAGGCCUAACACAUGCAAGUCGAACGGCAGCACAGUAAGAGCUUGCUCUUACGGGUGGCGAGUGGCGGACGGGUGAGGAAUACAUCGGAAUCUACUUUUUCGUGGGGGAUAACGUAGGGAAACUUACGCUAAUACCGCAUACGACCUACGGGUGAAAGCAGGGGAUCUUCGGACCUUGCGCGAUUGAAUGAGCCGAUGUCGGAUUAGCUAGUUGGCGGGGUAAAGGCCCACCAAGGCGACGAUCCGUAGCUGGUCUGAGAGGAUGAUCAGCCACACUGGAACGGAAACAAGGUCCAGACUCCAACGGGAGGCGGCGGAGGGGAAUAUUGGACAAGGGGCGCAGGCCUGACCCAGCCAUACCGCGUGGGUGAAAAAGGCCUUCGGGUUGUAAAGCCCGUUUGUUGGGAAAGAAAAGCAGCAGGUUAAAACCCCGCUGUUCUGACGGUACCCAAAGAAUAAGCACCGGCUAACUUCGUG